rnacentral:snRNA from 1 species
GGAUGUAAGGGUGAUCUGGCUGUGACCUCCAUCUCCCUGUUGAUUUCCAGGGUUGACUCUGCUGGCCCUUUCCUUGCUUACUAGUCCACGUGCUUCCCUCCUGAAGCUGCAUGCCUGGUAAAGAGGAAGACUGUCCUAGAAUAGAGGACUGGCCCUCAGCCAAGAAUACAGCAGUAGCUACACUGCCCUGCUAGAACCUCCAAACUCUUUAAAAACAUUCUCUAAGAAGGAUCAUUUAUUAGGGGAUAAAAAAAGUUUUAACUAUUUUGUAAAUGACAGAUCUGG